rnacentral:rRNA from 1 species
CACGUAGGGCGCGAGCGUUGUCCGGAAUUAUUGGGCGUAAAGAGCUCGUAGGCGGCCUGUCGCGUCCGCUGUGAAAGCCCGGGGCUUAACCCCGGGUCGGCAGUGGAUACGGGCAGGCUAGAGGUAGGUAGGGGAGAAUGGAAUUCCCGGUGUAGCGGUGAAAUGCGCAGAUAUCGGGAGGAACACCGGUGGCGAAGGCGGUUCUCUGGGCCUUACCUGACGCUGAGGAGCGAAAGCGUGGGGAGCGAACAGG